AAUAUUGGACAAUUGGGGCAAGCCUGGACCAGGCAUGCCGCGGUUGUGGAGAAAGUCUUCGGAUAGUAAAACACCUUACGUCGGGGGGGAAGGAUUUAGGUGAAUACCCUGAAGAUUCACCGUUACACAACGAGCAAGCACCAGCUGAAUUAGUUCGCGCCGCCGCGGUAAAACAGAGGGGGCAAGCGUUAAGCGGUUUUACGGGGUGUAAAGGGAGCGUAGGUGGUUAAGUAAGUUGGGAGUGAAAGGCCCGGGCCUAACCUGGGAACUGCUUUGAUAACUGUAGGGCUAGAGUACGGUAGAGGGUAGUGGAAUUUCUUGUGUAGCGGUGAAAUGCGUAGAUAUAAGAAGGAACACCAGUGGCGAAGGCGACUACCUGGGCUAAUACUGACGCUGAGGCGCGAAAGCGUGGGGAGCAAAC
rnacentral:rRNA from 1 species